AGAUGGUAGUGCAAUUGCCAACAACAAUGAAAAAUAAAUACAUGAAAUCCGAAUGUGUGUCAGUCUCAUCUGUUUUUGAUUCCCAUGUCAGACAGCCAUGAGGAGCAUCUGUUCUCUCACUGCCUGAGAGAAGCAAAAGAGGCCUUUUUUUGUAUAUGGUGAGCGAUUCGUGGGAGGAAGUCCAGUAAACCGAACCUGGUGAUUCAGCACCACACCAUGCGGAGACCUUCUGGGAAACUACGUCUUAUGGCUAACUUAACGACUGCAUGCUGUCAACGUGACCAACACUCCUAAAUGCAGCAGAUAGAGAAGAUGAACGUGGCAAUGAGAGUUUGUUUUGGCCUACACUUAAAGAGCAGCAUUUCUUAAAAGAAC
ensembl:lncRNA